GUUCGAAGACACCAAUUAAAUAACACAUUACUAGUGUAUAUGGGCUAUCCCAUGACAAAUAGUGUAUUUUUUUAAGAAGAGGCAAUUCUGUACAGCAUUAACUUAAGACGGGUCUUGCACGGACAUUACAGUCCAUUGUUUGGAACAAUAAUUAAGUCUACCAAGUGCGCAUUCGAUUGACGUCGAAGGUGCAUGAUUCAAGUUUGGAAAGGUAGUGAGAAUACAGAUUGUUUUUGAAGGAAGAAAUGGAGGUACAUUCAAUGAUAUGACCGGGAAGACUGUUUCAAAGAAAAACAAUCCGGUCGAACUCAUUAGAAGAAGGAGUCUCUAAAAAGAGAAGUUAGUAACAUUUGUUGAUGUGUACGAGUGUCUAAAGAGAAAAGAAGAGACAUCUAGAUCAUUGUCAAGGAAAUAAAUUAAUAUUAUUUAGAAAGUUCUCAUCUUGCUCCUCUAACUCAGUAAAAGAAGUACACUGAUGAACACUGUCAUGCAUCUUCUUGCUUUCAGUCACUUCUACCAUCUUGUCAGUCUCACUUAGUUCUUUUCCUUUCUCCAUAACAUAGAAAAAAUAAUGAAAGUAAUUUCCAAACAUAUUUGUUGAUAUUGACCAGUCAUACUCAGACUUGGCAAGAUAUGGCUUCCUGAAGUGUGGCUGUGAAAAUGUCACCGAUAUAAAACAUCCUUCAAUCUUUAGAAUCUGGGAAAUCUGAA